rnacentral:rRNA from 1 species
AGAGUUUGAUCAUGGCUCAGAUUGAACGCUGGCGGCAGGCCUAACACAUGCAAGUCGAGCGGUAGCACAGAGAGCUUGCUCUCGGGUGACGAGCGGCGGACGGGUGAGUAAUGUCUGGGAAACUGCCUGAUGGAGGGGGAUAACUACUGGAAACGGUAGCUAAUACCGCAUAAUGUCGCAAGACCAAAGUGGGGGACCUUCGGGCCUCAUGCCAUCAGAUGUGCCCAGAUGGGAUUAGCUAGUAGGUGGGGUAAUGGCUCACCUAGGCGACGAUCCCUAGCUGGUCUGAGAGGAUGACCAGCCACACUGGAACUGAGACACGGUCCAGACUCCUACGGGAGGCAGCAGUGGGGAAUAUUGCACAAUGGGCGCAAGCCUGAUGCAGCCAUGCCGCGUGUGUGAAGAAGGCCUUCGGGUUGUAAAGCACUUUCAGCGGGGAGGAAGGCGUUAAGGUUAAUAACCUUGGCGAUUGACGUUACCCGCAGAAGAAGCACCGGCUAACUCCGUGCCAGCAGCCGCGGUAAUACGGAGGGUGCAAGCGUUAAUCGGAAUUACUGGGCGUAAAGCGCACGCAGGCGGUCUGUCAAGUCGGAUGUGAAAUCCCCGGGCUCAACCUGGGAACUGCAUUCGAAACUGGCAGGCUAGAGUCUUGUAGAGGGGGGUAGAAUUCCAGGUGUAGCGGUGAAAUGCGUAGAGAUCUGGAGGAAUACCGGUGGCGAAGGCGGCCCCCUGGACAAAGACUGACGCUCAGGUGCGAAAGCGUGGGGAGCAAACAGGAUUAGAUACCCUGGUAGUCCACGCCGUAAACGAUGUCGAUUUGGAGGUUGUGCCCUUGAGGCGUGGCUUCCGGAGCUAACGCGUUAAAUCGACCGCCUGGGGAGUACGGCCGCAAGGUUAAAACUCAAAUGAAUUGACGGGGGCCCGCACAAGCGGUGGAGCAUGUGGUUUAAUUCGAUGCAACGCGAAGAACCUUACCUGGUCUUGACAUCCACAGAACUUUCCAGAGAUGGAUUGGUGCCUUCGGGAACUGUGAGACAGGUGCUGCAUGGCUGUCGUCAGCUCGUGUUGUGAAAUGUUGGGUUAAGUCCCGCAACGAGCGCAACCCUUAUCCUUUGUUGCCAGCGGUCAGGCCGGGAACUCAAAGGAGACUGCCAGUGAUAAACUGGAGGAAGGUGGGGAUGACGUCAAGUCAUCAUGGCCCUUACGACCAGGGCUACACACGUGCUACAAUGGCAUAUACAAAGAGAAGCGACCUCGCGAGAGCAAGCGGACCUCAUAAAGUAUGUCGUAGUCCGGAUUGGAGUCUGCAACUCGACUCCAUGAAGUCGGAAUCGCUAGUAAUCGUAGAUCAGAAUGCUACGGUGAAUACGUUCCCGGGCCUUGUACACACCGCCCGUCACACCAUGGGAGUGGGUUGCAAAAGAAGUAGGUAGCUUAACCUUCGGGAGGGCGCUUACCACUUUGUGAUUCAUGACUGGGGUGAAGUCGUAACAAGGUAACCGUAGGGGAACCUGCGGUUGGAUCACCU